UGGACGAUCUAAAUGAGAUUUUGAACGGCAAAUUUAAGGUACAUACGGUAAUUUUCAUAAAAUAUAAAUAGUAUACAUGUUAUAUCCAACGUCUAAUUUCAUACAUUUUAUUUUGGUCGUUUUUAGAUGGUAAAUCAGGUGAGACAUAUGGGUAAGGAACUGUAGCACAUUUCCGGGGAAAUCGAGAAGGGAUUCACCGAUUUGGAGCGGAAGUGUUGUCAGAAUAAAGCGGAAGUGGUGAACAAGGAUGACGCGAAACCGGGAACAAGCGGGUCUAGUGGGUUUCAUGAAAAUGAUGACCACUCGACCACCGAGGACGAGAGAAAGAAGAAGAAGAAUCAGAAACGUAACGAACAAAGACAACACAAAACCGAGAUAGAGAAACGCAAGGGUUACGCCGAAGACGCCUCAAAGGAGAACUACAGCAUGUGGGGACCACCAACCGAUCAAACCGGAGACGGUCGUACCAGUUUGAAUGAAAAAUUCGGUUAUUAAUUAAAGAAACAACAAAAUCAAGUUUAUUAAUAUUUUAUUAUUAUUAUUAUUUAAUGUCCACUUAACUAUAAAGAUUCAAAGCGUUCUAUUCCUAACAGUCUAUUGGAUACAAUAAAUGGUACUUACUAAAUAUCA
rnacentral:lncRNA from 1 species